rnacentral:lncRNA from 1 species
CUUCUCGGAAUGUGUGUGCGAAGCCUCCAGCGAUGUCGUUGAUGCUGAAGGUGCUGAGGCCAACUUCCAAAGUUCUGAUGGACUGCGCAACAGAUGUCAUCAUCUCUUACAGGGCAAACGCCAGCUUUCUCACAAAGGUCGUACAAGCCGUUUGCGAGUUUCACGACGAGUGCUACGAUGGAAUAUUGGACAUAAAAGAUAGAAAGACGAGAAGAGGUCUUGCUGGCGAAUGCAUGCUCAGAAACUUCCUGCAUCUUUAU